rnacentral:rRNA from 1 species
GACGAACGCUGGCGGCGUGCUUAACACAUGCAAGUCGAACGGAAAGGCCCUGCUUUUGUGGGGUGCUCGAGUGGCGAACGGGUGAGUAACACGUGAGUAACCUGCCCUUGACUUUGGGAUAACUUCAGGAAACUGGGGCUAAUACCGGAUAGGAGCUCCUGCUGCAUGGUGGGGGUUGGAAAGUUUCGGCGGUUGGGGAUGGACUCGCGGCUUAUCAGCUUGUUGGUGGGGUAGUGGCUUACCAAGGCUUUGACGGGUAGCCGGCCUGAGAGGGUGACCGGCCACAUUGGGACUGAGAUACGGCCCAGACUCCUACGGGAGGCAGCAGUGGGGAAUAUUGCACAAUGGGCGGAAGCCUGAUGCAGCAACGCCGCGUGCGGGAUGACGGCCUUCGGGUUGUAAACCGCUUUCGCCUGUGACGAAGCGUGAGUGACGGUAAUGGGUAAAGAAGCACCGGCUAACUACGUGCCAGCAGCCGCGGUGAUACGUAGGGUGCGAGCGUUGUCCGGAUUUAUUGGGCGUAAAGGGCUCGUAGGUGGUUGAUCGCGUCGGAAGUGUAAUUUUGGGGCUUAACCCUGAGCGUGCUUUCGAUACGGGUUGACUUGAGGAAGGUAGGGGAGAAUGGAAUUCCUGGUGGAGCGGUGGAAUGCGCAGAUAUCAGGAGGAACACCAGUGGCGAAGGCGGUUCUCUGGGCCUUUCCUGACGCUGAGGAGCGAAAGCGUGGGGAGCGAACAGGCUUAGAUACCCUGGUAGUCCACGCUGUAAACGGUGGGUACUAGGUGUGGGGUCCAUUCCACGGGUUCCGUGCCGUAGCUAACGCUUUAAGUACCCCGCCUGGGGAGUACGGCCGCAAGGCUAAAACUCAAAGGAAUUGACGGGGCCCCGCACAAGCGGCGGAGCAUGCGGAUUAAUUCGAUGCAACGCGUAGAACCUUACCUGGGUUUGACAUGGAUCGGGAGCGCUCAGAGAUGGGUGUGCCUCUUUUGGGGUCGGUUCACAGGUGGUGCAUGGCUGUCGUCAGCUCGUGUCGUGAGAUGUUGGGUUAAGUCCCGCAACGAGCGCAACCCUUGUUCACUGUUGCCAGCACGUUAUGGUGGGGACUCAGUGGAGACCGCCGGGGUCAACUCGGAGGAAGGUGGGGAUGACGUCAAGUCAUCAUGCCCCUUAUGUCCAGGGCUUCACGCAUGCUACAAUGGCUGGUACAGAGAGUGGCGAGCCUGUGAGGGUGAGCGAAUCUCGGAAAGCCGGUCUCAGUUCGGAUUGGGGUCUGCAACUCGACCUCAUGAAGUCGGAGUCGCUAGUAAUCGCAGAUCAGCAACGCUGCGGUGAAUACGUUCCCGGG